UCGGGUGUCCAGGCGCCGGAUCUGAGCGAACGUCUCAGCCGGUUAGCUCAUGGGUGGAACAUUGACAUUGGUGCGGAGCCGAACGGCUCGAACUCAGUACGCCUCCUCGGAGGAAGGAACGGUUCGGAUCACUAGGCGCCGCACAUGCACGCUGUUGGGUCCUGAGGGACCGGGCCUCAUCGGAUGAUGAGAACUGGACCUCUGGACCUUUUCUUGUCGGCAUCACUUGCCGAGCGGAGAAGGUACCGCCCGUACUUUGAGAACUACACAGUGGACGCGAGCAUCUUAGAUUCGAGCCUUCGGGUUCGGAUCACAAAAGAUGAUCUGAUUUAUUAGAUCAUUGGUCAAUCUGUGUCGAACCUGCUUCGGUAGGUACGACGCCGAUCGAUUCAAACUCAUGUGAU
rnacentral:misc_RNA from 1 species